CAGCAGCCGCGGUAAAACAGAGGGUGCGAGCGUUAAUCGGAUUUACUGGGCGUAAAGCGUGCGUAGGUGGUGGUUUAAGUCCGUUGUGAAAGCCCUGGGCUCAACCUGGGAAUUGCAGUGGAUACUGGGUCACUAGAGUGUGGUAGAGGAUAGUGGAAUUUCCUGUGUAGCGGUGAAAUGCGUAGAUAUAGGAAGGAACAUCUGUGGCGAAGGCGACUAUCUGGGCCAUUACUGACACUGAGGCACGAAAGCGUGGGGAGCAAACAGGAUUAGAUACCCCCGUAGUCCCUGUCUCUUAUAC
rnacentral:rRNA from 1 species